rnacentral:rRNA from 1 species
CAGCCGCCGCGGUAACACGGAGGGUGCAAGCGUUAUCCGGAUUUAUUGGGUUUAAAGGGUCCGUAGGCGGAUCUGUAAGUCAGUGGUGAAAUCUCACAGCUUAACUGUGAAACUGCCAUUGAUACUGCAGGUCUUGAGUAAAUUUGAAGUGGCUGGAAUAAGUAGUGUAGCGGUGAAAUGCAUAGAUAUUACUUAGAACACCAAUUGCGAAGGCAGGUCACUAAGAUUUAACUGACGCUGAUGGACGAAAGCGUGGGGAGCGAACAGGAUUAGAUACCCGUGUAGUCCCUGUCUCUUAUAA